rnacentral:lncRNA from 1 species
AGCUCUCAGCAGAUGGGGGACCCAGAAGGUACAUGGAGUGGGAAGGUGGGUUUUUUUUUUUCUGGAGUUGCACUGCUCAGCAGCUGGGCUCUCCUCCAAGAGCCAAACUCCUCAUCGUUGUGCUGGUUGAUGGCCUGCCGGCCUGCCGUUGUCUGCCAGUGCCUGUCAGUGUGCUCUUCUGCCAGUGUGUUCCUCUCGACAUCAAGCUGCUUAUAAAGAAGGGGACAAGAAAGGAAAUAUAGUAACCCCCAGAGGAAAAAAGCCAAGAUAUUCCUUCUCCCCUUAGGUCCCUCCGUGGCUCACACUUUAAAGCCAUAGUUCUCAGAAUCACCUGCAGAGCAUGUCACAACUGGCUCGGCCCAGUUCCCAGAGAUUCUGAUCAUGUUGAGCUGGGGUGGAGCCCAAGAAUUUGCAUUUCUAACAAGUUCCUAGGUGCUGCUGCUGCUCUAAGCCAAGCUUGAAAGAACAGAUACUCUAAAAGGGAGCUGAAGAAAACCACACCAAAGGCCCCAGCACCAGAACGUUUGAGGCUGGAAGGUCUUGAGCUUGAGUGAGUGAACCAGCACCAAGUGAAGUAAAGGAGGAUUUGGCUGGAUUUCAGCUUUCCUAUGUCAUCACAAAGUAAAUGCUUUAAAUUGAUGGAUUGGAUUUGUUUUUAGUUGAAGAUGAUAAACAUUUCUUGAGCAUCUGCUAAAUGUCUGUCCCUGUUCUAAGUUCUCUAAUCUAAUCUUAAUUCUUUUUUUUUUUUUUUUGGAGACAGAGUUUCACUCUUGUUGUCCAGGCUGGAGUGCAAUGGCACAAUCUGGGCUCACCACAACCUCAACCUCCCGGGUUCAAGUGAUUCUCCUGCCUCGGCCUCCCAAAUUGCUGGGCUUACAGGUGUGCGCCACCAUGCCCGGAUAAUUUUGUAUUUUUAGUAGAGACAGCGUUUCACCAUGUUGGUCAGGCUGGUCUUGAACUCUUGGCCUCAAGUGAUCCACCUACCUCAGUCUCCCGAAGUGCUGAGAUUACAGACGAGAGCCACCGAGACUGGCCUAAUCUAAUCUUAAUUUUUAUAGCAACAAAUUUGUA